UAAUACAGAGGGUGCGAGCGUUAAUCGGAAUUACUGGGCGUAAAGCGUGCGUAGACGGUUACGUAAGUCGGAUGUGAAAGCCCCGGGCUCAACCUGGGAAUUGCAUUCGAGACUGCGUAGCUAGGAUGCGGAAGAGGGAAGCGGAAUUUCCGGUGUAGCGGUGAAAUGCGUAGAUAUCGGAAGGAACACCAGUGGCGAAAGCGGCUUCCUGGUCCAGCAUCGACGUUCAGGCACGAAAGCGUGGGGAGCAAACAGGAUUAGAUACCCUGGUAGUCCACGCCAUAAACGAUGACAACUAGACGUUGAGAGGGUAAGCCUCCCAGUGUCGCAGCUAACGCGUUAAGUUGUCCGCCUGGGGAGUACGGCCGCAAGGUUG
rnacentral:rRNA from 1 species